UAAAAACCUUGGUGUUUGGAAAGCCUUCAGUCUAGACACCUCUGAUAUUUAAAGUUUAUUGAAAGUUGGAAAAGUGAUGAUACAGUAGGGGUCAUUGUGACUUACAUGUUUUGUAGAAGUCAGUUAUAAAAGAUUAGCUAAUAGAGUGUACUUUGGAGCAGUCCUCUGAAGCCAUCUUGAGAGACGUUUUUCCUGACACCCUUUCUCCCUGGUGGGUGAGCAAUUGGCCACUGCGAACUUGCUGUUAAUUACUCAAUUCUGUUCCAGAUGUUAGACCAAACUCUGUAUCAUCCUGUAAUAAAGUGGCUGGGCUCUUCUGUCAACCCAUCCUGUUAGCAGGUGUUGGAACCCUGCAGGGACAUGCUAAAUGAAUCAUGCUGACUCACCAUGGCAGGUGCAUCUUGUUAACCAACAGUGGAUGGAAACUCCUUGGAUGGACCCAGUCAUGGACCAGGACCCCAUUGUUCUAGGUGCUGUAUAAACAUGAUUUGAUGUUUGUUAUUAUAUUUGACUAUAUAUAUGUAAAAAUGAAAGGGAGGUAGUUUGGGAGUGCAUGCACAUAUAAACUAGCAUGAUUUUUUUCAUAGAAACAUUAG